UAUUGGAUGGUCUCUUUGGAACUUUGACCGGUUCUUCAGUCUCCGUAGAAAAUGUGGGGCUGCUUGGAAGCACUCGUGUUGGAAGCCGCAGGGUCAUUCAAAUCUCAGCUGGCUUUAUGAUAUUCUUCUCAAUAUUGGGGAAAUUUGGAGCUUUGUUUGCAUCAAUCCCCUUCCCAAUAUUUGCUGUUGUGUACUGUGUUUUGUUUGGUCUUGUUGCAUCUGUGGGGCUGUCAUUUUUGCAAUUCACAAACAUGAACUCAAUGAGGAACCUCUUCAUUGUUGGUGUUGCCCUCUU